rnacentral:rRNA from 1 species
GAUGAACGCUGGCGGCGCCUAAUACAUGCAAGUCGAGCGAACGGACGAGAAGCUUGCUUCUCUGAUGUUAGCGGCGGACGGGUGAGUAACACGUGGAUAACCUACCUAUAAGACUGGGAUAACUUCGGGAAACCGUAGCUAAUACCGGAUAAUAUUUUGAACCGCAUGGUUCAAAAGUGAAAGACGGUCUUGCUGUCACUUAUAGAUGGAUCCGCGCUGCAUUAGCUAGUUGGUAAGGUAACGGCUUACCAAGGCAACGAUGCAUAGCCGACCUGAGAGGGUGAUCGGCCACACUGGAACUGAGACACGGUCCAGACUCCUACGGGAGGCAGCAGUAGGGAAUCUUCCGCAAUGGGCGAAAGCCUGACGGAGCAACGCCGCGUGAGUGAUGAAGGUCUUCGGAUCGUAAAACUCUGUUAUUAGGGAAGAACAUAUGUGUAAGUAACUGUGCACAUCUUGACGGUACCUAAUCAGAAAGCCACGGCUAACUACGUG